AGCAGUGGGGAAUAUUGGACAAUGGGCGCAAGCCUGAUCCAGCAAUGCCGCGUGGAUGAAGAAGGUCUUCGGAUUGUAAAGUCCUUUCGGCGGGGACGAUGAUAACGGUACCCGCAGAAGAAGCCCCGGCUAACUUCGUGCCAGCAGCCGCGGUAAUACGAAGGGGGCUAGCGUUGCUCGGAAUGACUGGGCGUAAAGGGCGCGUAGGCGGAUUGAUUAGUCAGGCGUGAAAUUCCCGGGCUUAACCUGGGGGCUGCGUUUGAUACGGUUGGUCUAGAGUUUGGAAGAGGGUCGUGGAAUUCCCAGUGUAGAGGUGAAAUUCGUAGAUAUUGGGAAGAACACCGGUGGCGAAGCGCGACCUGGUUCUUGACUGACGCUGAG
rnacentral:rRNA from 1 species